AUAGUAAGUAUGAAUGUAAAGGCUUUUCCAGAUUCUGUGCGAUAUGGAAUAGGAUUUUCAGGUACUCCUGAAAAAUAUGAACAUCAGAAUUGCUCAUUUGAGUGCUGUCUCCAUCUUUUUCCAUGUUUACCAGACUCAUGAACAAGCCAAGAAUAUCAUAUAACGUAAUCACCAAGUCUCUCCAGGAAGAAGAAGUGUCCUUCUGAAGUGGGAAGUAGCACAAAGUGAGAAUGUCCUUGGAUAUUUUGUUAAUGUUGGAAAGAAUACCCAACAGUUGCAGCCACCUACCAAAUCAUAUUUCUCCAAAGACAGAAAAAUUCUUUUAAUUCUCCAUGGCUGACUAUAGAGUUAAUAUUUCUGCCUAUAAUGAAGCAGGAGAAUCUCCACAAGCUAUCUACAUUGUUCCCAGAAUUCUCUGUAACAGACUUGCCUGGUCAAAUCCAUGUCAAAAGCCAGGGAAGAAAAUGCAAUUGUCACGUGGACUCCAGAAUACAAUCCAAAAUGUUUUGUGGUUGACUGGGGCACCAGUAAAGAGAAUAUGAAAAUGAAAAUAAUAACCAUGGCUACCGGAAAUUUUACAUUAGAUAAUUUUCAGCCAUAUAAGUUGUACAAAAUAAUGGUACAUGCAUCUGAUGUGUGUCAGUGUGAAAGUUUCAUAAGACAUGAAAAGACUUUUGGAGUGACCCACUUUUACUCCGUUGAAGGAGUCCCGAGGACUGGUCCAACUAAUGUUGACAAUUCUGAAUAUCACAAAGCAUUCUGCACUUGUGAAGUGGACUGA
rnacentral:lncRNA from 1 species